UACGGGGGGGGGCAAGCGUUGUUCGGAAUUACUGGGCGUAAAGGGCUCGUAGGCGGCCAACUAAGUCGGAUGUGAAAUCCCCGGGCUUAACCUGGGAACUGCAGUCGAGACUGUCUAGCUAGAGUAUGGGAGAGGGAAGUGGAAUUUCAGGUGUAGCGGUGAAAUGCGUAGAUAUCUGAAGGAACAUCAGUGGCGAAAGCGACUUCCUGGACCAAUACUGACGCUCAUGUGCGAAAAGCGUGGGGAGCAAACAGG
rnacentral:rRNA from 1 species